CCAGGUAGGGCCCCAGGGAGGAAGCUGGGCUUGGUUCUGAUUUAACUCAUGGGAAAUACCAGGAAGCUCUGAGGAAGAUGGAAGAAGAAGAGAAGGCACUGCUUCUUGAAAAAGAAAUAUCCAAAGCCCAGAAUGUCUCCUCUCAAAUAGUGAAACUGGGGUCAAUUUUGGUGGACACUACCCAAAGCAACAUGGAGAAGACCACCAUUAAGAAACAGGAGAGAAUCUGUUGGUACAAGUAAGUGGAAGAAUCUUGCUUUUACCUAGCUUAGACCACAUUUCACUCUAUACAUUGCCUGAUAAGGGCCAAAAGAACAAGGAUAAACAUAUCCACUGAUCAGAAUACA